rnacentral:lncRNA from 1 species
CUUGUUAUGGUCGAUAAAGUUCUAUUAAUCUGGAAGCAAUUUCAGAAAAACAUAUUGCUUUACACAUUAACGGUCUAUUCUGUUGGUUCCGAUUUCCAAUAUGUUGGAGUUGAUGUUUGAGUAAGGCUGUCAGUCGAGGUCGGAGCUCGCAGUAAUUGUCUAUGAUUUUGUAGCUGAUUUUCCGAUCAAAUUUCAUCGCCGAGUCACGCACACAGUCUGGCAGGGAAAAUCUUUGUAUUUACUGACCUUAUUCGUUUAAAAAAGGCACAUCUCAGUCUAUUUUUGACUUCCUACUCUCCUAUUUUGGUGACCUUGUGUGCUUGUGAGUUCUUAAAUUGGACUGAAUAAAAAGAAAAGAGAGUUACAAGGGAACGGUUGCCUAGAUUGGACUCUUUCUAAUAUCAAAUUUGGAGCCCAAAUCCAGAUCACCCACGACCCAAAUCACUACCAUGAACCCGGCCUGCCAUCCCCUUAGUGAAACGAUGUCGUUCCAAGCAAGUCAAUCCUGGCCGUCGAGGAUUCAUCAUCCAACGGUCAGGAACGGUGGUUCCUUUACUAUAAGAGUGUCCGAACGUCUCCACACAUUUCUCAUCUUCCUCACUAUCCCCUCCCUUCAAACCCUAGAGACACAGCCUCAAAUUCCUAGCCAUCGGUGACGGCGCCACUUCCAAACUCAACCAAAAUAACACCCCUGAACCAACAGACCACCCUCAACCCAAAUCCUUUACCCGUUUGGCUCAAAUCAGCUUGUAGCUUCUCGAAUAUUCAUUUGAAGGUUCGAGCCAAACUUGGAACCGAUCCAAUCGAGCCCAAAUAAAUACCAGAUGGCUCACCAACCUUCCUCGCCAUGAAUCCACAGUCAGAACCCAUCGAAUAGUGCUGAGUCUUAUCAAAAUUGGAAUCUAAGGUCUGCACAGUUCGGGCUAAGGAUUGGGCGGGUUUUGUUCAUUUGAUCUCUGGUUAAUAUUAUGGGUUUAUUUCCGUUGAAAUAAACGUAUAAUAUUAAUUAGAAGUCGAUUUCAGACAUUUUCUCGUAAAAGCUUAAAUGCUAGUAAGUUUUCGAUUCCUUCUUUCUUCAGAUUAAUUUGUUGUUUUGUUUAAAUUGUGAUUUCCAGUUUAGUCUAAUUCUUCGUUUAAUGCUCUAGUUCGAUUCCUUGUUUGCUUAAGUCCCGAUUUCUUUUUUCUACUUUUUUGUUCAAACGAUUUUGUAGUCAAUUGCUUAAAUUUAAUACUAUAGUUCGAUUACUUGUUUGCUUAAAUCCCGAUUUCUUUUUCUGUUCUUUUGUUCAAUCAAUUUUGUAGUCAAUUGCUUAAUUGGUCAUUGGUAUAAUUAACUUCUCCUUUCGAUUCUGUUCAUGAAGAAUUUGACGUGGAAUCUGGAUUAAAAUUAUUUUAGUUUUUAGUUUGAUAUUAUUGUUGAUUGAAAUAGUGUUAAUUGGUUGUUUGAAUAUAGCUGAAGAGCUCAUUUGUUAGUUUAAUUAGAGUUACAAUUCUAACUAGGGGUAAGGGUUAGGUUCAGUUAGGCUAGUCUGUGAUUGUUGGGCUGUUGGAAGGGUAGUUUAGGAAUAGAAAAUAGCAGCAUCUUGAAACAUAGUAUAUUCAAAAUGAGGGGGCGGAGGAGGACACGGAAAAGGGAAAAAGCUACGAUGUAAUAGGGGACUCUCCGGCUGGUUCUUUUUCUACACAAAAUAAAAAUCAGAGGACCCGCCGCUGACCCAAAGGAGCACCCCCUCAUCUUCCUAUCUAACACAAAGCAUCCCCAUAUUCAUUCAUCACCUUGACCCUUCAACCGUGGAACAGAUCUGAAACUUUAGAGCAUUAUCCAGCGACCUUUCAACAUACAUCAUCAGAAACACAUACACAGACACACGAAAGCACACAGGGAUACACAGUUGCUUGAAUUUCGUGGAGAUGGUUUGGAUUUUAGUGUUGUUGUGGAGUUCCUUUAAGUUUAAAAGUUUUGCUUCUUUUGAUUUCAAUGGAAAUUGAUUCAAUUUCGGGGAUGGAGUUUGUUUGAGUUUCAUUGCUUCGGUGACUGUUCGAGGUGUCGUCCGCAGUGGGGUUCGUAAUCCCGUUUGAGUUUGAUUGUUGUUUCGACUUUUGGUUGUAGCGUUUGCUCCAUUUCUGUCCGUGUAUAUACUCGAAAUUUUAUCAAAUGAAUGUUUGAUUUUCGGUUUGUCAUGGUCGCUAAAGUUCUAUUAAUCUCAAAGCAAUUUCAGAAAAACAUAUUGCUUUACACAUUAACGGUCUAUUCUUUUGGUUCCGAUUUCCAAAAUGUUGGAGUUGAUGUUGGAGUAAGGCUGUCAGUUGAGGUCGUAGCACGCGAUUAUUGUCUCUGAUUUUGUAGCUAAUUUUCUGAUCAAAUUUCAUCGCCGAGUCACGCACAUAGUCGGGCAGGGCAAAUCUUUGUAUUCACUGACCUUACUCCUAUUUUGGUGACCUUGUGUGCUUGUGAGUUCUUAAAUUGGACUGAAUAAAUGAGUUGAUGUGGUUUAUUCUUAGCCUGACUAUUAAUGUGGUUUAUUCUUAGCCUGACUAUGUGUGGUAUAUUUCUCUUAUAUUGUGUGUGUUUUAAACCAAGUGUUCUUGGUCGAAAAUUACAGUAAGUGGCAUGUCUGUUUUGUUCGGUUAGAUCUGUUCGCUAUUGACUUCCUUCCUUAAUGUGGUCCAAGUAAUUUGAAUUACAAAUCAGUAGUGCGAUAUUCUUUUUGGAUUUGAAAGAAACGGUCUCCAAGUUCCAUAUUCAUUGUCCUAUUGAUGGCUUUAAUUAAGUAUUUGGCAGAAGUAGACAUUUUGGGUGUUUUGAGUUAUAGGUAAAAAUCAUUUCGUUAGAAGGUUGGAAUAAUUCGAGGUGGGCCCAAAAAAAAUUGAUAAUUGCAUGGCCCUCAUUUUGUUUAAUUCUGUAUUGAUCCUUAGAAUCCGAGGCGUGCCAUUUAGCGGAUUUCAUGGCCCUCGCAAAAGUGCAAAUGGGUAGUUGCAUUAGGCGCGUAUUUAAUAAUAUUACCUUCCUAAACUCGGGUGCGCAUUGAUGCGAUCCAAAUCCAAAUCUCAAUGGAGUAAAUAUGUUUUAACAACCACGGGUGCAUUGAUUGUGACAUGGUUCGAGAUGCAUUUUCGCGACGAUGCAAUUUCUUUAAAGUAAUAAUAAAACCGGUUUACUAAUAACAGGCACAUAAGCUAGAACAUAUUUUGAAAUCAGAUAAAAUCAAAUAUAACAGUUAAGCGACUGUGUUAGAACCACGGAACUCGGGAAUGCUUAACACCUUCUCCCGAGUUAAUAGAAUUCCUAAUUAGAUUUCUGGUUCACAGGCUGUUAACAUAGUCAUAUAUUUCCUCGGUUCGGGAUUCAACCAGUGACUUGGGACACCAUUAACCUCCCAAGUGGCGACUCUGAAUGAUUAAUAACCAAAUCCUAUUCUGAUUGUCCUUUAAUUGGAAAAACUUGUUUACGCGUUGCGGGGACAUAUAGCGAAAAAGGAGAUGUGACAGCUCUGGCGACUCUACUGGG